rnacentral:rRNA from 1 species
AUUGAACGCUGGCGGCAGGCCUAACACAUGCAAGUCGAACGGUAACAGGAAACAGCUUGCUGUUUCGCUGACGAGUGGCGGACGGGUGAGUAAUGUCUGGGAAACUGCCUGAUGGAGGGGGAUAACUACUGGAAACGGUAGCUAAUACCGCAUAACGUCGCAAGACCAAAGAGGGGGACCCUCGGGCCUCUUGCCAUCGGAUGUGCCCAGAUGGGAUUAGCUUGUUGGUGGGGUAACGGCUCACCAAGGCGACGAUCCCUAGCUGGUCUGGGAGGAUGACCAGCCACACGAGAACUGAGACACGGUCCAGACUCCUACGGGAGGCAGCAGUGGGGAAUAUUGCACAAUGGGAGCAAGCCUGAUGCAGCCAUGCCGCGUGUAUGAAGAAGGCCUUCGGGUUGUAAAGUGCUUUCAGCGGGGAGGAAGGGAGUAAAGUUAAUACCUGUGCUCAUUGACGUUACCCGCAAAAGAAGCACCGGCUAGCCCCGUG